rnacentral:rRNA from 1 species
CUGGUUGAUCCUGCCAGUAGUCAUACGCUCGUCUCAAAGAUUAAGCCAUGCAUGUGUAAGUAUAAAUAAUUCUACUUUGAAACUGCGAAUGGCUCAUUAUAUCAGUUAUAGUUUAUUAGAAAUAGUGUACUACUUGGAUAACCGUAGUAAUUCUAGGGCCAAUACAUGAGUAAAUCCUCGACUUUGGAAGAGGUGUGUUUAUUAGUAUGAAAACCAUAUGCUUUUGCACGAUAGUGAGUAAUAAUAACCUUUCAUAUCGCCUGUUUUAAAUAGCGAUAGUUCUUUCAAGUUUCUGCCCUAUCAGCUUUCGAUGGUAGUGUAUUGGACUACCAUGGCAGUAACGGGUAACGAAGAAUUUGGGUUCGAUUUCGGAGAGGGAGCCUGAGAGAUGGCUACCACAUCCAAGGAAGGCAGCAGGCGCGUAAAUUACCCAAUCCUGACAUAGGGAGGUAGUGACAAUAAAUCACAAUGCGGGACUAUUUAGUUUUGCAAUUGGAUUGAGAACAAUGUACAAGAGUUAUCGAUAAACAAUUGGAGGGCAAGUCUGG